rnacentral:rRNA from 1 species
GUACACACCGCCCGUCACACCACGAGAGUUUGUAACACCCGAAGUCGGUGAGGUAACCUUUAUGGAGCCAGCCGCCGAAGGUGGGACAGAUGAUUGGGGUGAAGUCGUAACAAGGUAGCCGUAUCGGAAGGUGCGGCUGGAUCACCUCCUUUCUAAGGA